CGAUCCUGUGCGCUCGCCGCGGCCUGGGCCCCGGAGAGGGGAAACGGAUCCCGAACGGGGGGCGGGGGGCGCGGAGGAAGGGUCGCUCGCGCGCAGCUCACCCGGCGCCGCAGCCGCAACCUCCUCGCGCCGCCGGCGUCCCGGCCGUGCGCCCGCGCGCGCGCUCCUGCAGCCCCUCCACGCGGCCCCGGAGGCCGCCCGAGCUUCCGGAGGCGGAGAGAGCGGAACGGGAAAGGAGAUCGCCUGCGCCCGCGCCGCUGGUCCCGCGGGAACCGGGCGGUGCCGGAGGCUCCUCGCGGCGGGCGUCACAGAGCGCGGCGGGCCCGCCCCGCGCCCCCGAGCCUGGCCAGCGGGCCCCCUCUCGGAUGGAAAGGGACGCGGGAAGAAAGUGACCUCCGGACCCUCGGCUGUGCCCUGCACCGCCCAGGUGUUAACUGCUGCCGCCUCCGCUGCUAACGAGGAAAGCCGCUUUGAUGGUCUUGUGAUGUUGUACCCAAACAGCAACUGUAAUAAUAAAUAUGGAGGCAGCUAAUAUAAAUAUGCUUAUAUCAGCAAAGUUCAGUUUAAACAGCCCUGUGGCCCAGGGGCUGGUAAACACGUGAGAAAGUCCUCUGACUACCGGUAAAUGAGAUGGGUAGUUCAAACAAUCUGAGAAAAAUGAUCUCCGUCCACUGUAUGGAAUGCAGCCCUUUUUCGUGUUUGAACUCGCAAGCACAUAGUAGGUGCGACAGAGCAGUGGCACCCCACAGAUGCCGGCCUGCUAAUCCCAAACCUGUGGGAACAUCAACCUAGGUUAACCCAGGUGAGGUCAAUGUAAUCCCAAGGGUCUUUAUAAGAGGGGAGACAGGAGAUUUGAGGACAGUAAUAAAAACAAAACAUGGCCAUGGAUGGAAGCAAGAGCUUGUAGUAUACACCGUGGUGACUACAGUUAAUCCCUGCUGUAUAUUUGAUAGAAGCUGGAGAUUCCCCAUGGACAGAGGAGCCUGGUGGGCUACAGUCCAUAGGGUUGCCAAGAGUCCGACACCAAUGAAGCAACUUGUCAUGCACUGGAAACUUGACAAAGGGAAGAAAAAGGAUUCUCCCCUUGAAGCCUCCAGAAGAAAAGCAGCCCAGGUCACACUUUAAUUUUAGUUUUGACCUCCAGAACGGGAGUUCCCUGGUGGUUCAGUGACCAAGACUGCGUUC
ensembl:lncRNA